rnacentral:rRNA from 1 species
AUGGCGGGUGUCCAGCUCCGCCUGAGUAUGGCGUUCCAUCCUCAGAAUAACGGUCAGUCUGAGGUGGUUAACAAGGUCAUUGCCAUGUAUUUGCGUUGUGUGACAGGUGAUCGACCUCGCGCUUGGGUGGACUGGCUAUCUUGGGCGGAGUACUGCUACAACACUUAUUAUCACUCCACCCUGCGCGCGACGCCAUUUGAGGUGGUCUAUGGUCGACCACCCCCGCCUAUACUUCCGGUCGACCCGGAGACGGCUCGGACAGCAGUAGCGGGUGACCUUAUCUGCACCCGUGAUGAGAUGCUGGCUGAGGUCCGUCAGCGUCUCCUUCAGGCCCAGCAGACGGCCAAGCACUACUACGACGAUCAUCAUCGCGAGGCGGAGUUCGCAGUGGGUGACUGGGUGUGGCUGCGUCUUCUCCACCGCUCUACGCAGUCACAGGACCCGCGCGCAAAGCGCAAGCUUGGCCCUCGCUACGCCGGGCCCUUCCCUAUCAUGGAGCGCAUUGGGAAGGUGGCCUAUCGUCUUCAGCUUCCAGCCCGCGCCCGCAUCCACGACGUGUUCCAUGUGGGGCUGCUCAAACCUUUCCGUGGCGAGCCACCGGCGGCUCCUCCGACGCUUCCUCCAACCGCCGAUGGUCGCAUUCUUCCAGAGCCAGCAAAGGUGUUGCAGGCUCAGCUCCGUCGUGGCGUCUGGUUCAUCCUAAUUCAGUGGGCGGGCCUUCCGGAGGAAGAGGCGACUUGGGAGCAGCGUGAGGAUUUCCGUCAAAACUAUCCAGACUUUCAGCUCGAGGACGAGCUGUUUGCGCAGGCGGGGAGAGAUGUUAUGACCGGCCAGGUCUAUGGCCGCCGCAGGCCCAACAGGCAAGCUUAG